UUCUUCCUGCACCUAUAAAAGAUGGUGGGCUAGAAAUCCCUCAUUGAGAACCAUUAUUCCUGAGCUCACAAAUAUAAGACUCAAUAACCUGCAAACAUCUAAUUACCCGCUUGCGCGUGUGGCCUGGGCCACUCGCAGAGUCCAACACAAGAUCAACUGGGCUUCAAAGAUGUUGGAACGUCUAAGGAUCCCCGCCGAUGGACCUAGGUCCAAUCGAAAGGGCUACUGGACGCGAAAACUUCAUGACAGUCGACGGGUACGAGUUAAGAGAAUGUUCGCGUUCUACUAGCUCCACUAGAUGGAUUGCAGCAGGUGCAUCCCAGGGCGGCAUUACAUCCAACACGUACAUGUCCCGAUCAACAGCUUACCUAGCCGAAUAAGAACAUCUCGAGGAGCUAGGAGAAACAUCUCGAGGGAAGAGCCCCCAGGAAGUCGCAUUUACAUCAGCGACCAUUUCCUGGCGUGGAGUUUGGUCCCCCAGAUCAUACGCUGAUCUUAUUUCAUUUGGAAUCCCCCCCCGGAAUUUUAAAUGGAAUAGUGACGCGUGUGCUUCAGGGUUCACACACGAACUGGAACCGCUUUAACCAGAUGACUUUGGCGCGGCGGAUGUUCUAGUGUUUGCAUUCGAGUGCGAAUCAGCAGUCAGGUGAGAGCGACCACAUUUUCGCCCGACUUCGGUCACUUCAAAAUUGUGGUUGCUGGAGGUUGACAGGCAGCCUCCAGCUUCCACCAGUCGCAAAUAUAAAAAAAAUAAAUAAAAAAAAAAUAAAAAUAAAAUAGCCAAUUGCUUGGUCAUCUAAUUAUUGACGCGCAUGAAUGGAUUAACGAGAUUCCCUCUGUCCCUAUCUACUAUCUAGCGAAACCACGGCCAAGGGAACGGGCUUGGAAAAAUCAGCGGGGAAAGAAGACCCUGUUGAGCUUGACUCUAGUCUGGUACUGUUAGAAAACAUGAGAGGUGUAGCAUAAGUGGGAGGUAGUUUUUUUAAACUGCCGACAAUGAAAUACCACUACUUUCAUUGUUUCCUUACUUACUCGGUGAUGCGGAGGGCGUCCGUCGGGGUGAUACCACCUCGGCGUGACGGUAUUCUCGUGCCAAACGCCAAGGGUUGUCGACGUUCGAUCGUACGCCUUGUCGCGUUUAAGAUGUGGAUAUUCCUAAACGGAAUUGAUGCGUCUUAUUCGUUGUGCAAUGGCGGUUUCGGUCGUAUCGUUCGGCAACAUACUCCCUAGCGUGAUCCGAUUCGAGGACACUGCCAGGCGGGGAGUUUGACUGGGGCGGUACAUCUGUCAAAAAAUAACGCUGGUGUCCUAAGGUCAGCUCAGCGAGGACAGAAACCUCGCGUAGAGCAAAAGGGCAAAUGCUGGCUUGAUCCCGAUGCUCAGUGGGCAUAGGAACUGCGAAAACGCUGCCCAUCUAUCCUUUUGGCUUGAAGAGUUUUCAGCAAGAGGUGUCAGAAAAGUUACCACAGGGAUAACUGGCUUGUGGCGGCCAAG
rnacentral:ncRNA from 1 species